UGUUGUUGUAGACAAUAUGAGCACUUGAUAUCCAUAAUUCAUGGUACAAAUUGAUAAUGAGUUAGGUAAAUGUUCCAUGAUAAUGGAUUAGGUAAAUAUUCCAUGAUAAUGGGUUAGGUAAAUGUUCCAUGAUAAUGGUUUAGGUAAAUGUUCCAUGAUUGGCAUUUCAUGUCUUUUGUAGAAUUAAAUGGAUGAUAUAUGAA
rnacentral:lncRNA from 1 species